CAGCAGCAGCCGCGGGAAUACAGAGGGUGCGAGCGUUAAUCGGAUUUACUGGGCGUAAAGCGUGCGUAGGCGGCUUUUUAAGUCGGAUGUGAAAUCCCUGAGCUUAACUUAGGAAUUGCAUUCGAUACUGGGAAGCUAGAGUAUGGGAGAGGAUGGUAGAAUUCCAGGUGUAGCGGUGAAAUGCGUAGAGAUCUGGAGGAAUACCGAUGGCGAAGGCAGCCAUCUGGCCUAAUACUGACGCUGAGGUACGAAAGCAUGGGGAGCAAACAGGAUUAGAUACCCCAGUAGUCCCUGUCUCUUAUAC
rnacentral:rRNA from 1 species